UUGCACAUGAAAUACAUUAAUCAAUAUAACUUCCUCAUUAUUAUAUGGACCUUCUCCCUAUACAAAAUGGAAGUAUGGGCCAUCUGAUCAUUUAACGUAAAUACUUCCACAUGAGUGCAUCCUGUUGCACGAUCAGUACCUCGAGUGCUGGGAGCAGCAACAGAAACUUCCAACCAGAUCUCACCCAACCUUACCUGCCUCCACCCUCCUUGUCUUCUCAUACAAAGGACAUCUCUAAAUCUGAGGCAAAAAAUGCAACUUCCAUCAUGAUAUCCUAUCUUAGUCGCUGUGAAGUUUUCUAUUCUGGCAUCUGUUUAUAUACCAUCUAGCAUAUUUUUUUAGCCCAAUGCUAAUCAUUACUUUGAGGCUUGCAAGCAUAACAAAUGUCAUUGCGGACAGAAGGAAAAUCCAAAAGAGCCUCCAAGGUAGCGGAUUAUAGGGAAGAUGAGCAGCAAACACAGGACGUAACACACGGAUUACCACACAAGCAGGCGCCAAAGGGACAAAAGUGAGAUUAUUCUUUACAUUGUCUGUUUGGAUAUUCAGUGUCUGCUUACACAGAUCUUCAAGAAAUUCUGAAAACGCAAUCGGUUUGAUGUUGUUAAAUUUUGCAAUGAAUGAAUGCUUGAUGAUAUCAAUUGUCAUCUCACUUACAUAGACAACGAGUGCAUUACAAAGAAAACUUUCAAACCAAGGUCCAUCGGCCUCCAGAAGGUUUUGAGCUAAGACGAAUAAGAGAAAUGCUGAAA
rnacentral:misc_RNA from 1 species